UACGAAGGGGGCUAGCGUUGCUCGGAAUCACUGGGCGUAAAGCGCACGUAGGCGGCUUUCUAAGUCAGGGGUGAAAUCCUGGAGCUCAACUUCAGAACUGCCUUUGAUACUGGGAAGCUCGAGUCCGGGAGAGGUGAGUGGAACUCCGAGUGUAGAGGUGAAAUUCGUAGAUAUUCGGAAGAACACCGGUGGCGAAGGCGGGUCUCUGGGCCGAUACUGACGCUGAGGAGCGAAAGCGUGGGGAGCGAACAGG
rnacentral:rRNA from 1 species